rnacentral:rRNA from 1 species
CCUACGGGCGGCUGCAGUGGGGAAUAUUGCACAAUGGGCGCAAGCCUGAUGCAGCCAUGCCGCGUGUGUGAAGAAGGCCUUCGGGUUGUAAAGCACUUUCAGCGGGGAGGAAGGCGUUAAGGUUAAUAACCUUGGCGAUUGACGUUACCCGCAGAAGAAGCACCGGCUAACUCCGUGCCAGCAGCCGCGGUAAUACGGAGGGUGCAAGCGUUAAUCGGAAUUACUGGGCGUAAAGCGCACGCAGGCGGUCUGUCAAGUCGGAUGUGAAAUCCCCGGGCUCAACCUGGGAACUGCAUUCGAAACUGGCAGGCUAGAGUCUUGUAGAGGGGGGUAGAAUUCCAGGUGUAGCGGUGAAAUGCGUAGAGAUCUGGAGGAAUACCAGUGGCGAAGGCGGCCCCCUGGACAAAGACUGACGCUCAGGUGCGAAAGCGUGGGGAGCAAACAGGAGUAGAUACCCUAGUAGUC